rnacentral:rRNA from 1 species
AGACCCGAAACCCGGUGAUCUAGCCAUGGGCAGGUUGAAGGUUGGGUAACACUAACUGGAGGACCGAACCGACUAAUGUUGAAAAAUUAGCGGAUGACCUGUGGCUGGGGGUGAAAGGCCAAUCAAACCGGGAGAUAGCUGGUUCUCCCCGAAAGCUAUUUAGGUAGCGCCUCGUGAAUUCAUCUCCGGGGGUAGAGCACUGUUUCGGCUAGGGGGCCAUCCCGGCUUACCAACCCGAUGCAAACUGCGAAUACCGGAGAAUGUUAUCACGGGAGACACACGGCGGGUGCUAACGUCCGUCGUGAAGAGGGAAACAACCCAGACCGCCAGCUAAGGUCCCAAAGUCAUGGUUAAGUGGGAAACGAUGUGGGAAGGCCCAGACAGCCAGGAUGUUGGCUUAGAAGCAGCCAUCAUUUAAAGAAAGCGUAAUAGCUCACUGGUCGAGUCGGCCUGCGCGGAAGAUGUAACGGGGCUAAACCAUGCACCGAAGCUGCGGCAGCGACGCUUAUGCGUUGUUGGGUAGGGGAGCGUUCUGUAAGCCUGCGAAGGUGGCCUGUGAGGGUUGCUGGAGGUAUCAGAAGUGCGAAUGCUGACAUAAGUAACGAUAAAGCGGGUGAAAAGCCCGCUCGCCGGAAGACCAAGGGUUCCUGUCCAACGUUAAUCGGGGCAGGGUGAGUCGACCCCUAAGGCGAGGCCGAAAGGCGUAGUCGAUGGGAAACGGGUUAAUAUUCCCGUACUUGGUGUUACUGCGAAGGGGGGACGGAGAAGGCUAUGUUGGCCGGGCGACGGUUGUCCCGGUUUAAGCGUGUAGGUGUGUGUUCCAGGUAAAUCCGGUUCACUUUAACACUGAGGCGUGACGACGAGGCACUACGGUGCUGAAGCAACAAAUGCCCUGCUUCCAGGAAAAGCCUCUAAGCAUCAGGUAACAUCAAAUCGUACCCCAAACCGACACAGGUGGUCAGGUAGAGAAUACCAAGGCGCUUGAGAGAACUCGGGUGAAGGAACUAGGCAAAAUGGUGCCGUAACUUCGGGAGAAGGCACGCUGACACGUAGGUGAAGUGAUUUACUCA